ACGUGUGUACUCUAUUAAACGUACAAGUGAUGAAAAUUAAACUUAACGGUGUUAUUUUCGGUGUAGAGGUUAUAUAAAAAGGACUACAAGAUAUCUGAAACAAAUGAGUGAGGAACUGAUACAUAUACAUUUAUUGACAUUCUGAAACAAUGGCCAUUGAAACGAACGCAAAACAAUUUCUCGAAUCACUCGUGGCGGGUGAUAUGAUAACAUUUCACAGUCAAACAGCCACACAUUGGGGAAUUUAUGUCGGGGACAAGAAAGUUGUACACCUUAUUGGGGAAACCAUAGCAGAUUCAAGUGAUCAAAGUGAAGCUUUGUUCACUGUCGCCGGUAAAAAAUAUACAAAAGCAGCUGUUAAUGAGGAAGAUUUCAUUUAUGUUGCCGAUGCAUUUGACACAUACGAGAGAAAUUGCAAGGAUACACCAGAGAUGACCCCGGAUGACCCUGAGGAUAUAGUAGAAUUAGCUAAGACAAUGGUCGGAAACAUAUACUACAAUGAAAUGUGGAACAGUUGCAAGAAAGUGGCCAUCUACUGCAGAUAUGAUUUAAAAAACCUAUCUGGAACUGGCGAUGAAGUCAAUGAAGACAAUGAAGUCGAUGAAAACAAUGAAGUCAAUGAAGUCAAUGAAGACAAUGAAGUCAAUGAAGACGAUGAAGUCGAUGAUGGCAUUAAAGUCAAUGAAGACAAUGAAGUCAAUGAAGACAAUGAAGACAAUGAAGUCAAUGAAGACAAUGAAGUCGAUGAAAACAAUAAAGUCAAUGAAGUCGAUGAAAACAAUGAAGGCAAUGAUAACAAUGAAGUCAAUGAAGACAAUGAAGUCAAUGAAGUCAAUGAAGACAAUGAAGUCAAUGGAGACGAGGGACAAAGUGAGGAUGUCGUUGAUGGUGGAGCUAUAUUGAGAAAAUGUGUUGGUGAUGCGGUUACUAAAGGAGUUAAAUUGACAAGGAGAAAAAUCCCAAAACAUAAGAAUGCGGCUUCCUGGGUAACAGGCCCACCACCUAUCAAUGCGGCUGCUAAGGAAAAAUGCCUAGCACCUAUGAAAGCGUCUCCUAGGGUAAGGAAACUUUCCAACCAGCUAUCAUUGCGGCUGCUAAGGAAAAAUGCCAAGCACCUAUGAAAUCAGCUUUUAGGGGAAUGGUCAAUGGAACAGGUCAAACACUUAUGAAUGUGACUCCUAAGGAAACAGGCCAAACUCUUAUGGAUGUAGCUCUUAUGAAUAUACAUGGCGUGAGAUUGUCCAAGCGACAAGAGUUCAUCACAAAACACAACGAAGAGAUCAUCAAAAAGCUUAAAAAGGGGGACCUUGUAACAUUUAAACGCAAUUGGUACAUGUAUUAUCACUGGGCUGUUUACAUAGACCAAAGCCUCCUGAAGAGAUUGUAAAUACAGCCAAGGGAAUGCUCGGGGAGAAUGGUUACAAUUUACUUUGGAACAAUUGUGAACACUUUGCAAGCAAAUGUAGAUAUGGAACUGAGAGGAGUGACCAGGU